UACGAAGGGGGCUAGCGUUGCUCGGAAUCACUGGGCGUAAAGCGCACGUAGGCGGAUUGUUAAGUCAGGGGUGAAAUCCUGGAGCUCAACUCCAGAACUGCCUUUGAUACUGGCGAUCUUGAGUCCGGGAGAGGUGAGUGGAACUGCGAGUGUAGAGGUGAAAUUCGUAGAUAUUCGCAAGAACACCAGUGGCGAAGGCGGCUCACUGGCCCGGUAUGACGCUG
rnacentral:rRNA from 1 species